CUAGAAAACCUUAAUCUUCCCAAUUUUUUUUCUUCUCUUUUUCCUUUUCUUCUUCCUUCUUUUCAAUUCAAACCCUAAUCCCCAAAUUCAAAUUUGAUUCAAACCCAAAAACCAAAAAAUAGAAUUCAAACAAACCCAAAAAUUUGUUCCUAAAAUUCGAACAAACCCUGCCAGUUCUGGCUGUGUUGUAUAUAGGGAUUUUAUUUAUUUUGCUGGGACUGUUUUUUUAACAUGGCUGCUAGUUUCUAUUGUAAGCACCAGUUUGUUGGAACCGUGUUGUUG
rnacentral:lncRNA from 1 species